AUGUUUGCCUUCUACUACCUACGCCAGCAUACGGUGCUGAACGCUGAGCCCAGGCCCCUUUCCUCCCCACUCCCCGACGUCCCUUUGUUCCAAGCAGGGGAAAGUUGCCAGUUUGCACCUCUCUCCCCUCCCCAACCCCCGCUGGAAAACCAACCCCAAACAUUCGGUCUUCUCGGGAGCCAGACUCGAAAGCGAAAGCAAAGGAGGACCAGAGAUGAAACACCCUACAGCGUGCGCGCGCACGCACAACACAUCCACACACUCACAGACCCCAACAGAUCCACACACACACGUCACCCCCUCCGAUGCCCACCAGCCGCCUCGCCCUCCCUUCUCUCCCCGUCCCUGCCCGACACUGGCCACCUCCCAGCUGCGGGAGGCCUCUCCAAAGGCUCCAGACGCACCUACCAGUGCGGGGACCAGAGGCUGAGACCACUAACGCGAGGGUACGGGGCCCGCCGGGCCAGCCGUCCGCUGCAGGGUGUUGAUAAUUUGAAGAUAGGAGUGGCAGUGCUGCCGAGGAGCUCUGUGCUCCUCCCUCUCCCUGGCCUGCAUCCACAGCAGGCUGAUGGCAGAAUGAAACCCAUCGAAUGGAAGAGUGGCAGGAAAUCUCCCUUUCAGUAUUUUCUUGCUUUGGAGAAAGACUUCCUAUCAUCUUUCCAUUCCAUACAGGAAACAGAGGCAUUACAAGGCUUUGACUUUGGGGCCUUCUGUCCUUGAGACAAUAACUUCCAGCGGAUGGCAGCUGCCUGUGGCUAGCUGCUGCAGUUUGUUCCUAGAGUUGCAAUGGAAAAGGUGAGAUCAUACUGAGCUGGAACUGGGACCACUGUGAGGUGCAAUCCAGAAUUGCUAAUCAGGGACCAGUGCGGAGAGGUUAGGGGGCAGGUAGCAGAAAAAGGAGACUUCCAGAAACCUCAGUGCCUGGGGCCAUGAGGCCAAAACACUUGACAUUCCCUCUGGUUCCUUCCUUUCCCUGUUCUAGAUUGCAGACCUAGAGCAGCAGCAGGGUCCUGAAUGACAGCGCUCACUCCCUCAUCCCUUUUUCAUUCCCUGCAGGGAUGGAAGGAAGAUAUGGUUGGGCAGAAAACUUAUGCAGUCAAUAGGAAACUUUCCCCUUUGUCUUUGUGCUAUGCUAAAUAAACUACCUGGCUGCUGAAUAUUUAUUGCUUGU
rnacentral:lncRNA from 1 species